rnacentral:lncRNA from 1 species
GAUGUGACUCCCCACCCCCAGCCGGGUGCUCCGAGCCAUGGCCGACACCAUCUUCGGCAGCGGGAAUGAUCAGUGGGUUUGCCCCAAUGACCGGCAGCUUGCCCUUCGAGCCAAGCUGCAGACGGGCUGGUCUGUGCACACCUACCAGACGGAGAAGCAGAGGAGGAAGCAGCACCUCAGCCCGGCGGAGGUGGAGGCCAUCCUGCAGGUCAUCCAGAGGGCCGAGCGGCUCGACGUCCUGGAGCAGCAGAGAAUCGGGCGGCUGGUGGAGCGGCUGGAGACCAUGAGGCGGAAUGUGAUGGGGAACGGCCUGUCCCAGUGUCUGCUCUGCGGGGAGGUGCUGGGCUUCCUGGGCAGCUCGUCGGUGUUCUGCAAAGACUGCAGGAAGAAAGUCUGCACCAAAUGUGGGAUCGAGGCCUCCCCUGGCCAGAAGCGGCCCCUGUGGCUGUGUAAGAUCUGCAGUGAGCAAAGAGAGGUAGGG